rnacentral:rRNA from 1 species
CACGUAGGGUGCGAGCGUUGUCCGGAAUUACUGGGCGUAAAGAGCUUGUAGGUGGUUUGUCGCGUUGUUCGUGAAAACCUGAGGCUUAACCUUGGGCGUGCGGGCGAUACGGGCAGACUGGAGUACUGCAGGGGAGACUGGAAUUCCUGGUGUAGCGGUGGAAUGCGCAGAUAUCAGGAGGAACACCGGUGGCGAAGGCGGGUCUCUGGGCAGUAACUGACGCUGAGGAGCGAAAGCGUGGGGAGCGAACAGG